rnacentral:rRNA from 1 species
GAGGAAGUAAAAGUCGUAACAAGGUCUCCGUAGGUGAACCUGCGGAGGGAUCAUUACAGAGACUCUGCCCCUUGGGUAGACCUCCCACCCUGUGUAUUCAUACCUUUGUUGCUUUGGCGGGCCGCGGGGCUCCGGCCCUGCCCCUGGCUCCGGCUAGGGCGCGCCCGCCAGAGGACCCCCAAACCUGAAUGUUAGUGUCGUCUGAGUACUAUAUAAUAGUUAAAACUUUCAACAACGGAUCUCUUGGUUCUGGCAUCGAUGAAGAACGCAGCGAAAUGCGAUAAGUAAUGUGAAUUGCAGAAUUCAGUGAAUCAUCGAAUCUUUGAACGCACAUUGCGCCCCUUGGUAUUCCGGGGGGCAUGCCUGUUCGAGCGUCAUUACAACCCUCAAGCGCAGCUUGGUCUUGGGCGUCACCGGUCCCCGGUGUGCCCUAAAAUCAGUGGCGGCGCCACCUGGCUCUAAGCGUAGUACACACUCUCGCUACAGACGCCCGGUGGAUGCUGGCCAGCAACCCUCACUUCUUAAGGUUGACCUCGGAUCAGGUAGGGAUACCCGCUGAACUUAAGCAUAU